ACGCUCGACACCUACGAGAGGCAGCAGUGGGGAAUAUUGCACAAUGGGGGAAACCCUGAUGCAGCGACGCCGCGUGGAGGAAGAAGGUCUUCGGAUUGUAAACUCCUGUUGUUGGGGAAAAAAGNGGAUGGUACCCAACAAGGAAGUGACGGCUAACUACGUGCCAGUAGCCGCGGUAAUCUGAGCGGGCUGGCAAGGC
rnacentral:rRNA from 1 species